rnacentral:ribozyme from 1 species
UUUUUUUUUUUUUUUUUUUCUUUUUUUUUUUCUUUUUUUUUCUGUGAAAGAAACAAG